rnacentral:tRNA from 1 species
GUGCACUUAGCUCAAUGGUUAGAGCAUCACACAUGAACACUGAGGUUGUGGGUUUGAGUCCCACAGUAAACA